rnacentral:rRNA from 1 species
GGCGACCGGCGCACGGGUGCGUAACGCGUAUGUAACCUACCCAUAACAGGGGCAUAACACUGAGAAAUUGGUACUAAUUCCCCAUAAUAUUCGGAGAGGCAUCUCUCCGGGUUGAAAACUCCGGUGGUUAUAGAUGGACAUGCGUUGUAUUAGCUAGUUGGUGAGGUAACGGCUCACCAAGGCAACGAUACAUAGGGGGACUGAGAGGUUAACCCCCCCACACUGGUACUGAGACACGGACCAGACUCCUACGGGAGGCAGCAUG